rnacentral:rRNA from 1 species
GGCGAACGGGUGAGUAACACGUGAGUANCCUGCCCCUUACUUUCCUGGAUAACUGCUCGGAAGGGUAGCUAAUAUGGGAUAUUCUGACCAUCCUGCAUGGGUUGGUUUGGAAAGGUUAUUUUUUUCUGGUAAGGGAUGGGCUCGCGGCCUAUCAGCUUGUUGGUGGGGUGAUGGCCUACCAAGGCUUUGACGGGUAGCCGGCCUGANAGGGUGGACGGUCACACUGGAACUGAGAUACGGNCCAGACUCCUACGGGAGGCAGCAGUGNGGAAUAUUGCACAAUGGGCGCNAGCCUGAUGCAGCGACGCCGCGUGAGNGAUGAAGGCCUUCGGGUUGUAAACCUCUUUCGUCAGGNAACAAGGCACUGUCUUUUUGGUGGUGNUGANGGUACCUGGAUAAGAAGCCCCGGCUAACUACGUGCCAGCAGCCGCGGUAAUACGUAGGGCGCAAGCGUUGUCC